CCAGACUCCUACGGGAGGCAGCAGUGGGGAAUAUUGCGCAAUGGGCGAAAGCCUGACGCAGCGACGCCGCGUGAGGGAUGAAGGUCUUCGGAUCGUAAACCUCUGUCAGCAGGGAAGAACGGUCACUGUGCUAAUCAGCAGUGAAUUGACGGUACCUGCAAAGGAAGCACCGGCUAACUACGUGCCAGCAGCCGCGGUAAUACGUAGGGGGCAAGCGUUAUCCGGAUUCACUGGGCGUAAAGGGAGCGCAGGCGGCACGGCAAGUCUGGUGUGAAAGCCCGGGGCCCAACCCCGGGACUGCUUUGGAAACUGAGCAGCUAGAGUGCAGGAGAGGUAAGUGGAAUUCCUAGUGUAGCGGUGAAAUGCGUAGAUAUUAGGAGGAACACCAGUGGCGAAGGCGGCUUACUGGACUGUAACUGACGUUGAGGCUCGAAAGCGCGGGGAGCAAACAGGAUUAGAUACCCUCGUAC
rnacentral:rRNA from 1 species